UACGUAGGGGGCGAGCGUUGUCCGGAUUUAUUGGGCGUAAAGAGCGUGUAGGCGGUUCGGUAAGUCUGUCGUGAAAUCCUGAGGCUCAACCUCGGGCGUGCGAUGGAUACUGCCGGGCUAGAGGAUGGUAGAGGCGAGUGGAAUUCCCGGUGUAGCGGUGAAAUGCGCAGAUAUCAGGAGGAACACCGGUGGCGAAGGCGGGUCUCUGGGCCGAUACUGACGCUGAGGAGCGAAAGCGUGGGGAGCGAACAGG
rnacentral:rRNA from 1 species